CAAAAGAGCUGUUAGAAGAAAGGACAGUAUCAUUUAAAGAGAGACAAUCAUAAAAAAAAGUGUCAUGAGCCUUCCAUUACCUCCUCAUGGCCCUGUCUGAUUUCAGACUCAGCUGCAUUGUCAGUUAUGUGCAAGGCCACCCUUGCAUUUGGUGACACUGCCUCUCAGUUCCUGCAGGGGUCUCUGUUCCUGCUGUCCCAGGGUCUUCUAUGAUAUCACAUGAGCCCACUGGCCUGCAUGUAAUCACAGUCACUGGGAACCCGAGUUCUCUUUCUCCAAAACAGGACUGGGAGAUGUGGCUCUCCCCUGGACCUGAAAUGGGCCCUGGGCUGCUCUUCUGUGUGGUCGCUUAUCUCCUAUGGGCAGGACCCACGGAUGCUGGAAUCACCCAGAGCCCAAGGCAAAAAGUCACAGUGAAGGGAAAGAAUGUAACUCUGCAAUGCCACCAGAAUGACAACCAUGGAUACAUGUACUGGUACCGGCAAGACCUGGGACACGGGCUGAGGCUGAUCCAUUACUCAUUCGGAGUUAACGACACCAACAAAGGAGACAUCCCAGAUGGGUACAGAGUCUCUAGAUCAAAAACAGAGAAUUUCCCCCUCACUCUGGAGUCACCCACCCCCUCGCAGACAUCUGUGUACUUCUGUGCUACCAGUGACUACACAGUGCUGCACGGCUGCAUCUUCCCUGCACACAAAACGUCAUUGGAAAGACCAAGGUUGCCCUGUGCUCAUGAGGCCUGACCCCAUCCUGGCAAGUCUGGUCUCCUUGAGAGUCACAGAGUCCUUGCUAGACUGGGGACCUUGAAGUUCGGAGAAUAUGACCCAGUGUUUAGGUUCAUCCUGAUGCCAC